UGCGCAGGCGGCUUCUCAAGUCAGGGGUGAAAGCCCAGAGCUCAACUCUGGAAUUGCCUUUGAGACUGAGUGGCUUGAGUACGAGAGAGGUGAGUGGAAUUCCCAGUGUAGAGGUGAAAUUCGUAGAUAUUGGGAAGAACACCGGUGGCGAAGGCGGCUCACUGGCUCGUAACUGACGCUGAGGAGCGAAAGCGUGGGGAGCGAACA
rnacentral:rRNA from 1 species